UCCCGUGUCCGUGUCGUGUCGUGUCCGUGCAUCAUAGUUUUUAUUUAUAGGUUACGAUCAUAUGUAAUCAUCAACGAACCGUUUGAAAGUCUCAUGAAGCCCAUAUGACUAGAUUGGAUGAAAAGAUAAAUGAGUUGGAGGUUUUCUUAUUUGCAUGCCUCUGCAUUAUUUUUUCUCUUUCCAUCUUUAUUAUUUUUGCUUCAUGUUGGCAAGGAAGGAGACUUUCAAAAGCUAAACCUACAGGUUUUUACAGACUCUACUCUUGGCUCACUGCAAAGAAUGGUGGCUGCAAUUAACCUCUUACAUCUCAAACUAUUUGUAUUUAAUUUUAUGAUUUCUCAUUCUUAUGUUAUAUUUUUCUUCAUCUCUUAUUCAUGUUGUGUCUUUUCCAACUUCUUAUCUUUUUUAUUCUUUUAUUUAAAUUUUAUACAUUUGGGUUUUUUUUUUUAAUUUCUUCGCUAUGUAUGGUGUGCGAGGAAGUCAAGAUCAAAUUACUCCUUGGAUGAUGAGAACCAAAGCCUGCUAGCGAAGAAUGACAAGGAUGUACCAAAGAGCCGUCAUGAAUAUAUUGCUAGGGAUGUCGAUAUUGGACACAACCCGAAAACCUGACCCGAAAAUUUCGGGUUUGGGUUGACCCGAACCCAAAAUGGGUCGGGUUCGGGUUCAAUAAUUCGAUCUGUUUCAAAAAUCGGAUCGGGUCGGGUUGACCUGGACCCGAAGCGGGUCGGGUUCGGGUUGACCCAAAUAGUACCGGGUCAGUUUCGGGUUCGACCCUAACCCGACCUGUGACCCGAAAUUGACACCCAUAGCUGUUUAGACUAACGUUUUGAAAAUCGGACCGGACCGGCCGGUUCGACCGGUUCAACCACGAACUGAUCCGGCGGGCGGUCCGGGAAGAGGAGGAAACCAGGCAAUUUAUUAACCGGGUAAUAACCGGUUCAAAAUCCGGUUGAACCGGUUAACCGCCGAACCGGGAGGUAUAAGAAUAAUCGGCCGGUCCGUAAAAGCUCUAAUUUUAGCCCUUGAUCUGCGAUCGAACGGCGUAGAUACAUUGGGUAUCGGUAUGUAAGAGGUAUUAGUCGCUCGCGGCUCGUUUUCCCUAGCAUACAACGACUCCUACUCGCGGCUCGUCUACCUCAGUUCUUCCAGAAGUGGUCGUCCCGGACCUCACAGCCGCCGGCGAACACCGUUUACUGCUCGGCGACUUUGCCAGUUAAGCUGGGGAAGAAAUCACGUUUGGCCACCUACCCGAUCCGUUGAGCUCGGACGAUUCAGACGCAGCAGCUUGACAACUAUCUUUACAAAGAGCUGUAGCCAUCCAAAACAGACCCUAAACGAUAAUGGAUCGAAGGCUUGCAAAAGGAUCAACAUGAGUUGAGAUGAGAUCUCAUGAUUUAAAUGUUCUAAUGUGGCGAAGAUAAAUUUUAUUACUAGAUCAAAAAAAUAAAAAUAAAAUAUAAAACUUUGGAUGUUUGGUUA